rnacentral:rRNA from 1 species
GUCUACGGCCAUACCACCCUGAACACGCCCGAUCUUGUCUGAUCUUGGAAGCUAAGCAGGGUCGGGCCUGGUUAGUACUUGGAUGGGACAAAUUCUUGAGAUGUAAUCA